rnacentral:rRNA from 1 species
ACUCUUACGGGAGGCAGCAGUAGGGAAUCUUGCGCAAUGGGCGAAAGCCUGACGCAGCCAUGCCGCGUGUAUGAUGAAGGUCUUAGGAUUGUAAAAUACUUUCACCGGGGAAGAUAAUGACGGUACCCGGAGAAGAAGCCCCGGCUAACUUCGUGCCAGCAGCCGCGGUAAUACGAAGGGGGCGAGCGUUGCUCGGAAUUACUGGGCGUAAAGGGCGCGUAGGCGGACAGUUUAGUCAGAGGUGAAAGCCCAGGGCUCAACCUUGGAAUUGCCUUUGAUACAGGCUGUCUUGAGUUCGGGAGAGGUGAGUGGAAUGCCGAGUGUAGAGGUGAAAUUCGUAGAUAUCGGGAGGAACACCUGUGGCGAAAGCGGCUCUCUGGACCACAACUGACGCUGAGGCGCGAAAGCUAGGGGAGCAAACAGGAUUAGAUACCCUGGUAGUCCUAGCCCUAAACGAUGAUUGCUUGCUGUGAUCGGUACCCAAUCCGGUUGUGGCGAAGCUAACGCGAUAAGCAAUCCGCCUGGGGAGUACGGUCGCAAGGCUGAAACUUAAAGGAAUUGACG